AAAAUAGUGAUUUUAUCAAAUUUGGGCUGGGCAGGAUCGAGUUCGGGCCUAACCAAUUUCGGGCUCAGAUUUUGGUUACUCUGCUGGGUUGGUAUGGGCCAUGGGUCAUAAGUAUAGGCCCGGCCCAAACCUGGCCAAGACAAACCAAGUUUGAGUCGAAAGUGGGCUUGGCCCGAAGCCCAAUAGAGCUUUGGACACCAAAAUAUAAACGGCCAAAGAGAGCAUCAGAGUGGUUGGGUUGGAGAAAGGUUGCAGGUUUCUCAUCUCCCAUUCCAAAGGGGCGACCGAGAAGAACACAGUUUCAUCGAAGCCUAAUAUGGGGAAAGGGAUGGGAGCUUUGGGAAGAGAAGGAAGAAGACACAUACUCUUUGCGUGCGGUGCGGGCUCCGUAGCUUUCAUCUUCAGAAGAGCCGAUGCGCUUCUUGCGCUUAUCCCGCUAGCCGUAUUCGCAAGUGUACAGAUUUGUGAGCUAUAAAUAGACGGUUAAGAAGUGAAUUACAACAACGGUUCACAUUCUGACUAAGGCAAGUUCCAAGCCUAAUAGUGGGGGAUCAUCUAAUCGAGGAGUUUUUAUUUUUAUUUUUUAUUUUUAAGGGGUGCAUGGUCCAUUGACUGUGGGCUGCAACACACCAAUGGUCUAUAGAUCGCUGAACAAUUGGGACAAUCUUUUUAGAAAUGAAAGUUUCUGUAUACUGUGGAAAGAUUUGUGUCUGUAUUUCACGUUAUGCUUCUAGUUUUUAUUUUUUAUUUUUCCUUUUCUUUUCAUGUGUUUGAAUGGAAGGAUGACUACUAAAAUGGGGAUAUGAAUUAACCUGAAAUCAUCAGGAAAUUGAAACCCUAGUUUCCUCUUUUCUCCAUUGUUUCUUUUGGAUUCCAAUUUUACAAGGAUUCCAUGUUUUGUCACCUCAUGUUAUCUUCUUUGCCUUAGAAGUCAUCAACGUCUCUUUUUUGGGAGAGAUGAAUCUGCAAAGUUUUUCAAGGAAAAUCUGAGAAAUGGAAAUCAGUUUGCAAAACUAUC